CUGGAGAACGUAGUCCCCCAGGUUCCCGUUUGGUCCUAGCUUGCCUCACUUUCGUCAAGAGAACUUUCCCAUCUAGUUCUGCCUGUUGAAGAAGGGACUCCUUACAGAGAGACCAUCAGCAAUGCCUAAGCUCCAAACCUUCUGGCUCCCUGGGCACCCAGGCUUUGGUAUGACUUUGGUGGCUCUACCCUGAUGGGAGGAUGACCAGGCUCAGACCAUGCUGUCCAGUGUCAAAGGCUGCUCUAGAUGAGCAAACUGAGACACAGAGAGGCUAAAGAGCUUGCUCAAGGCCACACAGCCAAUCAGCGGCAGAGCCAGGGUUCAAACCCAGACUGUAAGCUCCAUGAGGAGGGACUGGACCACCUCCUUCACUACUGUUUCCCCCAUGUGUAGCACUGUACCUGGCCCACAGUAGAUUACUAAGAAGAAGAUUGUUGCAUUCAAUUUCAGAUUAGAAAAUGAAGGUCCUGGGAACUCCCUGGAGAUCCAGUGGUUAGGACUCCGCACUUUCACUGCCAGAGCCCAGGUUCAAUCCCUGGUCCGGGAACUAAGAUCCUGUAAGCUGUGUGU